AACCAAAGAACAAAGAAGGGUUCAGAUGUUUGAGUUCUUAAUGAAGGGCAUACCAACACUUCUUUAACUACCGGUUUUCCUGCCAUAAGCCAAGGACUGAGUUCUCUCAAAGUAAAUCAAUAACGAGAGGUGGCAUCUUUGCUUUCCGAUAUGUAUGCUUACUCCUUUUCCUAGUUGCUAGGACGUAAACCUUAGAGGAUCACUCUGUUGUUACCACCAAAAGUAAAAAAUAGACCCUUUUCGAUAUGUAUGCUUACUCCUUAUCCUAGUUGCUAGGACGUAAACCUUAGAGGAUCACUC
rnacentral:lncRNA from 1 species